UAAUACGUAGGAUCCGAGCGUUGUCCGGAAUUACUGGGCGUAAAGGGUGCGUAGGCGGCAAUGUGCGUCAGAGGUGAAAUCCACGGGCUUAACUUGUGGGGUGCCUUUGAUACGGCAUAGCUUGAGUACGAGAGAGGUCGAUGGAAUUCCUGGUGUAGCAGUGAAAUGCGUAGAUAUCAGGAGGAACACCGGUGGCGAAGGCGGUCGGCUGGCUCGUAACUGACGCUGAGGCACGAAAGCGUGGGGAUCAAACAGG
rnacentral:rRNA from 1 species